rnacentral:rRNA from 1 species
AGCGAACGCUGGCGGCAGGCCUAACACAUGCAAGUCGAACGAACCUUUCGGGGUUAGUGGCGGACGGGUGAGUAACACGUGGGAACGUGCCUUUAGGUUCGGAAUAACUCAGGGAAACUUUUGCUAAUACCGAAUGUGCCCUUCGGGGGAAAGAUUUAUCGCCUUUAGAGCGGCCCGCGUCUGAUUAGCUAGUUGGUUGAGGUAAUGGCUCACCAAGGCGACGAUCAGUAGCUGGUCUGAGAGGAUGAUUAGCCACAUUGGGACUGAGACACGGCCCAAACUCCUACGGGAGGCAGAAGUGGGGAAUCGUGCGCAAUGGGAGAAAGCCUGACGCAGCCAUGCCGCGUGAAUGAUGAAGGUCUUAGGAUUGUAAAAUUCUUUCACCGGGGACGAUAAUGACGGUACCCGGAGAAGAAGCCCCGGCUAACUUCGUG